CCCGGCGCUUGAGAGGACGCGGGGCUGCGCAAAUGGCUUGUCCCGCUCUCGGUUUGGAAGCUCUUCAGCCCCUGCAGCCCGAGCCGCCCCCCGAGCCCGCCUUCUCCGAGGCGCAGAAGUGGAUUGAGCAAGUAACUGGCAGAAGUUUUGGUGAUAAAGAUUUUCGGACAGGUUUAGAAAAUGGAAUCCUCCUCUGCGAGACAAUAUUAUCUUAUUCUUGAGAGGUUGUAAAGAGCUCGGCCUUAAAGAAUCUCAACUUUUUGACCCGAGUGACCUCCAGGAUACAUCCAACAGAGUAACAGUCAAGAGCCUUGAUUAUAGUAGGAAGCUGAAAAAUGUAUUAGUUACCAUUUACUGGCUGGGAAAAGCAGCAAACAGCUGCACAUCCUACAGCGGAACGACACUAAACCUGAAGGAGUUUGAAGGAUUGUUGGCUCAGAUGCGAAAGGAGACUGAUGACAUUGAAAGUCCUAAACGCAGUAUCCGAGACAGUGGCUACAUCGACUGCUGGGAUUCCGAGCGCAGCGACUCCCUCUCUCC
rnacentral:sRNA from 1 species